AUCUGCAAACUACAGACAGUGAGGGAACGACGAUGGGUAGGCUGUCGUCAAUGCCGUGGCGGAGGCGUGGCAGCGACGGUGGGUAGGCAACGGCGGCGGAGACGAGUCAGCGGCGGUGGAGGCAAGGCAGCACGAGGUAGCGUUCUCGUUUCCUCUCCUUCUCCGUCUCGUUUCCCUCCCACCCUUCCCCUUCGGCAGCACAGACCAGCACCAGCGGCGGCGAGGCAUCUAGUGGCGGUGGACGAAGACUGUAGAUCGGUGUUUAUGGCGGCAGCGAGACUUCCAUUCCAGUAACGGUGGACGAACUGUGCAGCGGCGUAACAGCUCCGUGGACAUCCGUCUCUUCCCUACUCUGGGCAUCAACAGAUUCGGUGGUCGCCGUUGCAGUGGAUCGACGACGGCAGUCGAUGGCAGAUGCGGCGGCAGUAGUCCCGGCGGUGGUGGCAGUGGCAGAAUGGAUUGAAUAUGACAAACAAUUUACAAGUAUUCUAUAGAUUCUAAUUUGAGACAUACUGGUUCUGAAUUUGAAUCUGGAUCAAAUGCAAAUGCUAUUAAACAUGAUGAGGAUGUAGAUGAAGAGUAUAUUGAAGGUUCCAUUUCACUAACUGGCCGUAAUUUUGAUAGAGUAGCUCACCGAUAUCCAAUUUUGGCAGUGAACUUCUUUGCACCUUGGUGUUAUUGGAGCAAUCGUUUGGUACUUUUUAUUCACUUAUGCCGGUUGUUCAUAUUUUUCUAGCUUCACCUACACAAUACACUCUCCUCUUCCUUUAUGCCACCUACUUAAACCCUAAACCUUCAUGUGAGAAAGCAGCAAAUAUUAUAAGUGAAAGGUUUAGUUUGUUCUUUUGUCAUUUCUGCUACAAGGUCAAAGGCUAUUUUUGUUUGUUGAACUUAAUUUCUUUCUGAAAUGAAAUAGAUAUCUGAAAUGAAGUUCUAGCACUGUGACACUGUGUAUCAUUCAAAUCUCUUAUGCAAAUUUGUCUUUUGCCUUCUAGAUAUGACCCAGAAAUGGAUGGACGAAUCCUUUUGCCUUAUUACUUAUUGCUUGACCGAUAACUUUCUAAUACAUACCUAUAAUUGCAAAAUACGUAUGGCCAGCUGCUACCUCUUGCUUUACCUGCUCCACUGAAAUAGUUUAGUAUUGAACAGUGCAUUAUAUAAUUCUAUUGUUUGCUAGGCAUUAUGAAGGGGAACAAACAA